rnacentral:rRNA from 1 species
UGCAAGUCGAACGAUGAACCACUUCGGUGGGGAUUAGUGGCGAACGGGUGAGUAACACGUGGGCAAUCUGCCCUUCACUCUGGGACAAGCCCUGGAAACGGGGUCUAAUACCGGAUACGACUACUGAGGGCAUCCUCGGUGGUGGAAAGCUCCGGCGGUGAAGGAUGAGCCCGCGGCCUAUCAGCUUGUUGGUGAGGUAAUGGCUCACCAAGGCGACGACGGGUAGCCGGCCUGAGAGGGCGACCGGCCACACUGGGACUGAGACACGGCCCAGACUCCUACGGGAGGCAGCAGUGGGGAAUAUUGCACAAUGGGCGAAAGCCUGAUGCAGCGACGCCGCGUGAGGGAUGACGGCCUUCGGGUUGUAAACCUCUUUCAGCAGGGAAGAAGCGAAAGUGACGGUACCUGCAGAAGAAGCGCCGGCUAACUACGUGCCAGCAGCCGCGGUAAUACGUAGGGCGCAAGCGUUGUCCGGAAUUAUUGGGCGUAAAGAGCUCGUAGGCGGCUUGUCACGUCGAUUGUGAAAGCCCGAGGCUUAACCUCGGGUCUGCAGUCGAUACGGGCUAGCUAGAGUGUGGUAGGGGAGAUCGGAAUUCCUGGUGUAGCGGUGAAAUGCGCAGAUAUCAGGAGGAACACCGGUGGCGAAGGCGGAUCUCUGGGCCAUUACUGACGCUGAGGAGCGAA